UACGUAGGGUGCGAGCGUUGUCCGGAAUUAUUGGGCGUAAAGAGCUUGUAGGCGGUCUGUCGCGUCUGCUGUGAAAAUCCGGGGCUCAACCCCGGACUUGCAGUGGGUACGGGCAGACUAGAGUGUGGUAGGGGAGACUGGAAUUCCUGGUGUAGCGGUGAAAUGCGUAGAUAUCAGGAGGAACACCGAUGGCGAAGGCAGGUCUCUGGGCCACUACUGACGCUGAGAAGCGAAAGCAUGGGGAGCGAACAGG
rnacentral:rRNA from 1 species